CGCGCUGCACAUGCGCAUUGCGACUACCGAAGGUGGACCGAGUGGGAAUGUGAAGUGAGCCAUAUUCAAUCAGGACUGGCGAUCCAGUGCCCUUUUGGUCACAACAGGUCAUUUAAGAAAACCCAACAAACAAUGAGGUGCGUGCCGUUCUGUCAGGGAAAUUCUCUGGUUCUGUUUGUCAUGCACCUCUUAAUGGCCCAUUUUAAAGAAAAAAAGUCCCUUCUAAUUGAAGCUGAUCCGACAUGGAAAGAGGUGAAUUACCGGAUUCACCCACACUGAUCAUCCAAGAGAGUAGUGAACACACGCACAGCAAGUGGUGAACACACGUACACCCGGAGCAGUGGGCAGCUAUCACUGCAGUACUCGGUCAGCAAGUAGGGGUAGGUGCCUUGCUCAAGGGCACCCCAGUCGUUACCCGCCGGCCCUGAGAAUCCAACCGGCAACCUUCUGGUCACAAGUCCAACUCUCUAACCAUUAGGCCACGACUGCCCCUCAUUUAAGAAUUUUUAUAUAUUUUGACUAGAAAAAAGAAUUACAAGGUAAAAUAAGUUCUUUUUUGCAGGCCAUGAACCAUACUUUUACAACAAAAGUUUACUCUUUCAUAAUUUUUCUAAGUGAAUUGAUGACGCCAAGCAAAUGGAUGAUGUCAGUUCAAAGGGAAGUUAUCCUGGGACCAUGUUCAGGGGAAUUUGUUGAGGGUCUGGCAGCAUUGUUUGUGACACAUUACAACUUAAACCUCGCUUAUCUGUAUGAAGCUGCAUGCACGCUCAAAUUUAUUCAAAGAGGAAUUGUGGGCAUCAAUCCCGAAACUGGAUCUAAAGUUGCUGCUGGAAAGCGAGUAAAAAAAUGCAUUAACUGAACCCACAUGCACACUGCUACUGAAACUAAUGGACUUUGAAUGUCUUGCAAAUUAAAUGAAGAAUUCAAAUGGAAUUGAAAUAAGAGACUCUGGCCAGAUUUUCAAGUUUGUGGUUCAUGUCCAGGUUAAUGUACAUGCAACAUCUUGCCUUUUUAUAAAUAAUCAAUUUAAAGGUAGGCACAAUUCAGACCAUUUCUCAUGUUUAAAGCCAUAUUUUGCAAACUGAAAUUUUCCUUGUAUUUCUAUGGCUAAAGCCUUUUAUUUGUUGUGUAAUCUUCACUGUUGUGAAAGGAAGCAUUCUUGUAUUUUUAAGGCUAAAGCCUUUCAUUUAUUUUGCAAUCUCAUUUUCUUUUAUUUUUUACUUAGUUUUGGAAACUAGUGCUUAAUGUUCAUGUUUAUUGUACAAUAAAUGCAUUUGGCUACAUCUAUGAAAUCCUGUUUUAUUGUUCACGUUACAUUAAAUUAACACACCUAAACACUACUGAAGUGUACAGCAAAAGUAGGUUACAUAAAUGUACUAGCAGUGAAAAAUCUUAAUUGUAGUUAAUUUAGUGAAUUUAAUUUCACAGCAAAUGCUAUGAUUCACUACAAGUAUAGCAGUCCAUAUAAAUUCACAGUUGCCCUUGUACACUUUAACUGUAAUUUUACAGUGACAGCUGUAAAAAAUUACAUAUUGCUACAUGUGUGUAUAUAUACAGAAAUAUGCUGUAUUUUUACAGUGAAACUGUAGUUAGUGAUUUACAGUACUCUUGUAAAAAAUUACAGUCUUAGUGGCAACCAAAGUUGAA